GACGAACGCUGGCGGCGCGCCUAACACAUGCAAGUCGAACGAGAGAGAGGGAGCUUGCUUCCUCAAUCGAGUGGCGAACGGGUGAGUAACGCGUGAGGAACCUGCCUCAAAGAGGGGGACAACAGUUGGAAACGACUGCUAAUACCGCAUAAGCCCACAGGUCGGCAUCGACCAGAGGGAAAAGGAGCAAUCCGCUUUGAGAUGGCCUCGCGUCCGAUUAGCUAGUUGGUGAGGUAAUGGCCCACCAAGGCAACGAUCGGUAGCCGGACUGAGAGGUUGAACGGCCACAUUGGGACUGAGACACGGCCCAGACUCCUACGGGAGGCAGCAGUGGGGAAUAUUGCACAAUGGGGGAAACCCUGAUGCAGCGACGCCGCGUGGAGGAAGAAGGUCUUCGGAUUGUAAACUCCUGUUGUUGAGGAAGAUAAUGACGGU
rnacentral:rRNA from 1 species